rnacentral:lncRNA from 1 species
AGCACAACACACUUUCUUCCUUCUAGUCACCAAGGCUAAUACUCUCAUUCUCAAUUCACUACUAAGAAAAAAAAAUGGGAGGAAACAAUCAAAGGAAGUCAAAGUCAUCAUUCAAGUCUGUUUUCAACAUUUUCAAAUCUAGCAACAAACAAAGAAGUGCCUAUUAUGAUGAUGAUUGUGCUAAGCAAUGGAACAAAGUUUGGCCUAGUGAUGAAGACAGAGGUAGUUGGGGUGUUGCUGAUCCUACCAUUGACAUGAGAGCUACUGCUUUCAUUGCUCAAUACAAGAAGCGAAUUACUGAAUCUGAAAUUCACUGGCAAGCUCAACCUGAUCAGUAGUAGGAGCUAGCUAGCUUCUAUGUUUCUCCAUUUUUAAUUUGUUUGUACCUCUCUGUUGUAAAUGUAAUUAGUUAUUGAUUAUCAUUUGUGAACCAUGAUAAUAAGUAUUGUUAAAUAUAAAUAACUCUUUUCUAUUUCCAAGUUUGUGUUUGGCUUUGUUGUUGGGGUGGAGCAUAUUGUUCAGUCUAUUCUCUAUUGCAUAUAGUCAUUCAAUGUAGAGAACAUAUUGCAGAGUUUUCAGAUAAAAUGUUUCUUUAGUAACUUAAUUAUUUUGGCCAAAGAACUUGAAUAAGGAGAAUCAAUGGGUUAAGGGGCUUAACCGUUUCAAUCACUAUGCAUAACAUUACAGCUGAGUUUGAUUUGCGAAAUACACAUAUUAUGGUUGCAGUCAAGUCUGAAGUCUUGUGAUCUAUACCCGCUUUCCUUAUGUGUGAGUCUCACACAUAUACUUAUCCUGUCAACCAACAGAAUUUGCCUUAUGACUACUAGGAAGACUUUCUAUGCAAAAAUUCUAAAAUUAAGAUCCACUCUCGCUUCCCAACCAAACCGAAUUAGGCUCCGAUGCUACUUGUUGGAGAAUUCAGACAACAACGAACCAAAUGUUUUAAGACCAAAAGAGACUUUACAUCUCCACUCAACCUAAAAAUAUUGGACAUACAUAUCACCUCUCUUAUACCUUCAACAUUUAAUUCAUCAAUAGUCAAUGCAAAACUAACCAUCCACACUCGAAUCCAAUACAUCUUUGUAAUGUGUAUUCUAGUCAUUAUGUUAGUCAUUAUGUUGUGAAUUAUUUUAUGUUUGCCUCAAAUAUUAAUUUUCAUGACUUGUUAUAAAAAUAUUAUUUUUUUGUUCUGCAAAUCUCAAAUCUCCAUUAAAAUUCUUAACUCUUUAAAAUUUAAACGAUUUAUACGAAGAUAUUGAAGCUUGCAAUGUGAUUUGUUUUUAAAUUUCAAAAAUGUGUUUUUGAACUUGAAAUUUAGCCAAGAGAUCAACUACAAUCUCAAACAAUAAUUCCUUUUUGUUUCAAACAAUUACAUCAAGGAAGUAAUUUUAUUCAUCAGUUGUGAAUUUUUUAACUAAUCUAAGAAAACGUUAAAUCAAACGGUGAAAAUUGUUUAAGAACUACAAACUAAAGUAAGCAUAAUUUAAAAUAAAGAUAAACUGCAAGUAAAAAUAAAAUUUGAUUUAUGUGUGUCUAAAACGAAAACUACAAUGAGUAUUUAUAAACUAAUAGCAAAGUUUAAAUCUUGUCGGUCAUAAUUGUGACCAACUAAAGAUUGUGUUUUAACUCUUAUAUUUGGUUAAACUCGGGUGGAUGUUUGAGAUUGUGGAUUGCAUAGUACUCCACUUUUUGUGACCGUUUGUUUCUCACAUGCGCUUUUGUCUCUUUCCUCAUCGUGGUUGCUAAGAAAUAGUGGUCUCAUACUUAUUUUUUUUCUCUCGCCUGGUUCAAUAAAAAAUAAUAGAAAAAACUAUUCAUACGGUUCUUGAUCUAUAUUUGACAUGGGAAAAAUAAAUAUGACUAGAUAUGAUUGAGCAAGACUCAACUCCAUCAUACUCGACUAGAUCUCAAUUCAUCAUUGUUGGACUCGACUACUCAUAAUUCACAUUACCUUAAACUCAUUCUUAUGUUAAAUUACUUGUUUACUAAAUAACUUAGUGUUCCGAGGAGUCCAUGAGUGCGCUAGGAACAAGAGGCUUUGAAAUUCACGUUUCAACACAAAGCCUUAACAUAUUAAGUAUAAAAGUUGUCCCUCUUAAUUAUCUAAUAUUUAAUUCAUUCAUAAUCGAUGUAAAACUAAACUACUCACGUUUAAACUCAAAAAAGUAGGUUGGGUGGGCUAAGGCGCUCCAUUGAUUUCAUGACUAUCUUUAUAUAACCUGUUUUGAAGCAAGGUUCUAGCUUUUGAAACUUUCUCAUUCUCAAAGUAACACCAAUGAUUUGAUUCUUCAAAUAAUUUCCUUUGAUAUAUCAAUAUAUGUUGACACGACACCUGGUUACAUCUCCUGCACUUGAGUGACUUAAAAUUCCUGAUGAAUUGUAAGGCAGCAACAUAUUAAUUAACAAUUACUACUAAUUAUUUAUAUACUAUUCCAACUGAAUGACAGUUCUUGGAAUCCUGCCGAGUACAGACAUCCAUGAAAUGGGCUUGUGGUUUCUUUAAGGUACAACACGUAUGUUUUGCAUGUUUUCUUGUUAACCUGUUUUUAUUGAGUUUCAAUACCAUAUUUCUUACUCUCUGUUUGUCUAAAUUACAUAAAUAUAUGGUUAGUUAAAAAACUCAAAAAGUAAAUAAAGGUAUUGUGAUAAAAAAAAUAUUCGUGGGUUCUAGAAUUUGAAUCGAACUCUACACAAUCCCCGUAAAAUCGGUUUGUAGACCGAGAACUACUCACCACUUAUAAACAUUCACAUAUAUCACUAGACAUUUAGACAUGAUCUGAAUGACUGAUAGUAGUAACUUAGGUGACCGAUUGCGGUGAACUGAUAGUAAAUGAACCAAUAAAUUUAUAUUUUUUAAUUCUAGUUGAAAUAAAAUAAAUUUAACUAUUCAAAUAAAUUCCAAUAAAUAGAAAUUUCAUCAAAUAAAAAUUAAAAAGAACAAAAUGGGACCAUGCAGUUGCUUUUUGCAAGAAGAAGCUCCCUAAGAAAAGGGGGAUUUGUACUAUAUAAAUUGAGACCCCCCAGCCUUCAAGUUAUAGCACAACACACUUCCUUUCUUUCAAUUACAUUCUAGUCACUAAGGCUAAUAUUCUCACUCUCUACUCAUCACUACUUGUGUUUUUCAAUAACCAAGAGAUAAGAAAUGGGAGGAAACAAUCAAAGGAAGUCAAAAUCAUCAUCAUUCAAGUCUAUUUUCAACAUUUUCAAAUCUAGCAACAAGCAAAGAGGUGCUUAUUAUGAUGAUGAUGAUGGGGCAAAGCCAUGGAACAAAGUGUGGCCUAGUGAUGAAGACAGAGGUAGUUGGGGUGUUGCUGAUCCUAUUAUUGACAUGAGAGCUACUGCUUUCAUUGCUCAAUACAAGAAACGAAUUACUGAAUCUGAAAUUCACUGGCAAGCUCAACCUGACCAGUAGUAGGAACUGCCUAGCUUCUAUGUUUGUCCAUUUUUAAUUUGUUUUUACCUCUCUGUUAAAAAUGUAAUUAGUUAUUGAUUAUCAUUUGUGAAUCAUGAUAAUAUGUAUUGUUAAAUAUAAAUAACUCUUUCAUGUUUCAUCUUCUCUAGUUCCAAGUUUGUGUUUCUCUUUGUUGUUGAGGUGGAACAUAUUGUCUAGUCUAGUGCAUAUAGUUCAAUGUAGAUAACAGUGCAAAGUACUCAGCUAAAAUGUUUCUUCAGUAAGUUACUAUUGUGAUAAAAAUAGAUUUUGAUCGAUUAAUGUAUCUAAAAUGAUAUAUACAAUAAAUACAUAUAAAUUGGAAGCUAAGCCUCAAUCCUUUCAAGUGAUCAACUAAAGAUUGCGUCUUAACUUUCGUUUUCAGCUAAACUUGCGUGAUUGUGUUUGAGAUCAUGGCUUGUCUAGUACUUCAUGUUUUGCAACCUUAUGUUUCUUGUGUGUGCUUUUUUCUAUUUUCUCAUUGAAGUCGCUUUUUUUUAUCCUUUGUUUCUCACUCGGUUUAGUCCAAAAUCAUAGGAAUAGAGAUUCACAAAGAUUGAAUUAUUAGUUCAUACCGUUCUUGACUUAUCAUUGACUUGAAAAAAAAAUCAAAUGACUUAAGAAACCUCAUCUUCAUCAUCCUCAACUAAAUUUUAAUUUAUCAUCGAUGGCUUCGAACCGUCUAUAAACUCGACUAUUUGUCGUUCUCAACUAACAACUUACAAUAUUUUAAAGCAUAAAUACAAUGCAAUUGCAUUGUGAUGUAGUUGCAAAUACUAAAUUGAUGUUGGUUUGGCAACACAUGAUGCACUACAACUAUUUUAAACUAACAAUGUUAUGAUAUUUACUCGAGUGUGUGAAUUUUACUUUGGGUGGAGAAAACAUAUUUGUUAGAAGUACAACACUGAGUGUAUAAAAAUACAUGAUAUACUAUUGAAGUCAUGAAACUCUCUUACUUAAUAAACUAGUACUUUAGGUUGAGUUUUGCCCAUGUGUUUAGUUAAGUUCUAAUUCGUAAUAAUUGGGGUUUUUGUGAAUAGUUGGAUUACAAAAAAGACUACCAAUAGGUUAGUUUAAAUUGUUCCAUCAAAUAGUAAUAAGUGAAUGAAAUCGUCACAAAAGAAAACUACAAUCAAAUUAUAGUAGAACUAUCAAAAUAGAUUAGUCUAUAUGGUUCGAUAUGAAAAGUUUGAUAAAAUAUAAGAUAUGAGACUAAAACACUCGCAUCCAUAUAAGGAUAACCUGAUCGGACUUAAAACAAUUCACAUAUUUGUAAAAUAUGAAAAGUUUUUAAAUACCGUAAGAAAUAAGUACGUAAAAUAUUAAAAACUUUUGAAUUACAUUUAAUAGAAUGUUAAUAGUAUUAAAAAAAAGUUAGAAUAUAUAAAAGUUAUAUAAUUAAAAAAAAUAUUACAAUACUUAAAAUAUAAAUUAAUUAAAAAAAAUUAAAUGAUAGACUAACUCGAAAACUCGCAAUCCGUUUAGACCUAAGUUCGAUUAGUAAUUUUUGGUCCGUUUUCAAAGAAGGUUUUUUAGUCGAGCCAAAUGAAAUUCGUCAGGGCCAACCUUGCCAACCUUUAACAAACUGAGUAGUUCGUUAUGAUAGUUUUAAAUUAAGAGUGAAAGUCGUUGUGGUGCUCACUUUUAAAUCAUCUAGUACUUAAGAUGGAUGAGUAAUUUAAAUAGUUUGAACUAAAAGUUAAAGAAUUAGAGGUCCUAGAUUCAAACCCGCGUGGAGAAAAAAAUAGAAACAUAACAAUUAAUUACUUUUAAAAAAAAAUCAUCUUGAUAUUUUACAAUAUUCUUCUUAUGUUAAAUUACUUGGUUGGCUAAAGAAUUUGAGCAAGUAGGAUCCGUGGGCUAAGGCGCUUCAAUGAUUUCAUGUUAACUUUAUUUUUAACCCUUUUCCAAGCAAGGUGCUAACUUUUGAAACUUUCUCAUAGUUAAACACCAAUGGUUUGAUUCUUCAAAUAAUAAUGCAUACUUUAGUUACUUUUAAAAUUUCUCAUUAUUUGUAAGGCAGCAACAGAUUAACAAUCACUACUAAUUAGAUUCCUCAAGAGUUAUAUGAAUGACAGCUCUUGGAAUCCUGCCUAAAAAACACAUCCAUGAAGUGAGUUUGUGGUUUCUUUAAGGCACAAUACGUAUGUUUUGCAUGUUUUCUUGUUAACCUGUUUUUAUUGUGUCUCAAUACCAUAUUUUUACAUAUUUCUUACUUUCAACCCCACCAAUAUCCUUUCCUUUUACUGGCUUUGUCCUAAAAGUUAAUUAUAUCUAUCUCUCUGUUUGACUAAAUUACAGAAAUUUAUUUUUUGCUUAAAAAAUUGAAAAAUAAAUGAAGGUAUUAUGAUCAAAAGAAUAUAAUUCAAUUGAAAAAUUAAUUAAUAAUAGUCAUGUUAAAAUACCGAGGUGAAAUUAAUUAAAACAUAUUACAUUGAUAUACCGAGGUGAAAAAAAAAUUAAAAAUAGCCAUAUUAGACCAUUAGAUGAUUUUUUUAAUUCUCUUUGUGAUUUCAGAAGAGUGAUUUGUAAUUUUUCUUUUUGAAAAAUAGAGUGAUUUUUUUAGAUAUUAUAAAAAAAAUAGAUACUAUACAUAGAUACGGUGAAGAUUUUAUUGUUGAGUUUAUAUAGCCCAAGUGUUUUACUUUUAUCACUAUAUUCUUUUCAAAGAAUAGUCAUAGUUGUACAUCUCAUAUAUAGAGACACUCCUUUAACAUCUCAAGAAAAUAUUUAAUAUAUAAAAAUAAUUUUAUUUAGCAUUUAAACUAUUAUAUAUUAAUAGUUUAUACUUUAAAGAUUUAUUAUUAUUAGGAUUGGUGGAGAAAGACCUUUCUCCUUGUGUCUUCUUUUCUCUCUCAAACCUUGAAUAAAGAAUGUUAAAAACUUCUUGAUUUUAUCACAACAUCGACAUCGAAAGAUAUUACAGUAUUAUAAUUCCAUGGAAACAUUAUGUCUUGCAUUUUAUAUUGACUAAAUAUAAAUAAAAAUUUGAAUGGGAUAUAAUAGUGAGACCCUCUGUCCGAGGGUAACGCUACAAAAGUAAUUGUUUUACAUUUCUAUGAAAAGUAAAAAAUUUAUUUAAUCAAAGUUCUUAAUAAAAAUACUCAAAUUUUAAUAUUUUUAAAAAUACAUAUAAAUCUUUUUUAAAUAUAAUAUUAUUUUAAUAAUAUUAAAUCAAUUAAAAAAUAUAUAUUAUAUGACAUAAAUUAUAUUAAUUUAGUAAUAUCAAAUUAAAAUUUUAAAAAUUAACUUUACACUUCAUUGAAAAAUUCGCUUUAAACCUCUAUAUUUAUGAUGUAUUGGACCGCCUCUAGAGCCCCUCUCUCAUUGUCACCUUAAUCAAAUUGCAUUAGAAUUUUUUCUAUAAAAACAUAACAUAACCAACAAUGAGUAAAAAACUAUUCAUUCAUGGUAAUUUAGAUAACGAUUAAAUAAAUUUUCAUUUCUAUAAAUUUUAGAUUUUUAUCAUUAGUCCUCGGAAAAAAAUUGGGGUUUUAAUUUUUAUAAAAUUAUCAUAAAUACGAACAAUUUUAUUCCGUCCAAAAGAAACAUGUAAGUUUUUUUUAUAAAAAAUAUAGUUCACUAAAUGAGACUUAAAAAGAACAAAAUGGGACCAUCAAGUUGCUUUUUGCAAGAAGAAGCUCCUUAAGAAAAGGGGGAUUAGUAGCAUAUAAAUUGAGAUCUCCCCUGCUUGCAAAAUGAAGCACAACACACAUCCUUCCUUCAAUUACAUUCUAGUCACUAAGGCUAAUAUAAUAUUCUCACUCUCUACUCAAUACUUGUAUUUUUCAAUCACCAAUAGUCCAAAUAUGGGAGGAAACAACCAAAGGAAAUCAAAGUCAUCAUCAUUCAAGUCAGUUUUCAACAUUUUCAAAUCUAGCAGCAACAAACAAAGAGGGUAUGAUUAUUAUGAUGAUGAUUGUGCUAAGCAAAGGAACAAAGUUUGGCCUAGUGAUGAAGACAGAGGUAGUUGGGGUGUUGCUGAUCCUACCAUUGACAUGAGAGCUACUGCUUUCAUUGCUCAAUACAAGAAGCGAAUUACUGAAUCUGAAAUUCACUGGCAAGCUCAACCUGACCAGUAGUAGGAACUACCUAGCUUCUAUGUUUCUCCAUUUUUAAUUUGUUUGUACCUCUCUGUUGUAAAUGUAAUUAGUUAUUGAUUAUCAUUUGUGAACCAUGAUAAUAA